GAAAUGCGAUAAGUAAUGUGAAUUGCAGAAUUCAGUGAAUCAUCGAAUCUUUGAACGCACAUUGCGCCCCUUGGUAUUCCGAGGGGCAUGCCUGUUCGAGCGUCAUUAACAACCCUCAAGCACUGCUUGGUGUUGGGCUCCGCGGCUUACCCCGCGGGCCUUAAAAUCAGUGGCGGCGUCUUCGGGCUCUGAACGUAGUAAAUUUCCUCGUUACGGAGUCCUGGCGGCGGUAGUCAUUAACCCCUCAACUUUCUACGUUUGACCUCGGAUCAGGUAGGGAUACCCGCUGAACUUAA
rnacentral:misc_RNA from 1 species